rnacentral:rRNA from 1 species
GGGUGCGACCAUACCGGCACUAAAGCACUGGAUCCCAUCAGAACUCCGAAGUUAAGCGUGUUUGGGCGAGAGUAGUACUAGGAUGGGUGACCCCCUGGGAAGUCCUCGUAUUACACCCC